rnacentral:tRNA from 1 species
GGUCCCGUAGUGUAGCGGUUUAACACGCUGCCCUGUCAAGGCAGAGAUCGCGGGUUCAAAUCCCGUCGGGACCG